rnacentral:lncRNA from 1 species
AACGUUAUUUUAGGCAUUUUAUUCAGUUCUCUAUCGACUAUCAGCAUCUAAUAUUAUAUUAAUAUUGAAUAAUAAAGGCGGGAAUGAUAUUGUUCUUGAUAGAAGAAGUUUUAUAUUAUUUAAUCAAUGAUGCUAUAAGUAUUUCUUCCCUUCACACGCUUUUGUAUUUUUAGCAAAAUUAUCAACCUUAUCUAUGAGUAGAGUUGUUGGAACUGUUGAAAAAGAACGAAUUUGAUUGGUUGGAAGAGAUUAUACAAAAAAAGGAAUACAAUACUUUGGUACCCUUGCAUCUUCUAAACAAAUUAUCCUCAGUAUUGUACUAAUCAUUAGCAAUGCAAUUUCCCCUUACUGCUCCGUCACGUGCAUCAUCAUCAUGCUGAAGAAAAUGUGCCUUUUUUCUGGAUUUCUAUAAACGGAGUUUCUCGUGCCCUUUUUGUUCUUUAUGGCAAGUAAUCCGCCUCUCCAAAAACCUCCCAUCACAUCAACAACUUAAAAGUUUUCAAGAAACACAAUACUCAAGGAGACAAAGUAGAAUUCAGCAGUUCAUCAUUCAAUUUGGACGUGGCAAAGUUAUUUGUGUCGUUCAACCUCCCUUUAAAUGUUCUGGAUCAUCCCAAUUUCUCCAAGUUUAUUGAAAAGUAUACUGGAAAAACUUCUACAAGUCGUUGGCUCGUUAACAACUUUGUUGGGGAAGUAUGUUGUCAAGGAGUUUUUAAUAGAAUAAAAGAAGAAGUGGAAGAAAAGGAUAUUCGUAUUUUGACUGGCCCUUUGGACGGAAAUUUAUCUGGGAGACCUUACUUUAUUGACUUGAUUUAUAUUAAGAUUGCAAACGCAAACAAGUUAAAGAACAUCGUCAUGAGCUCUGUUUAUAAGUUAUUGGGAGAACUGAUGCCUCGUAUUGUCUCAAAGUAGGAGAAUAUCUUCGAGAAAAAAAUCCCGGAAUUGAUUCACAUUACAUAUAUUGCUCAUAGAUUACAUAGAGUUGCAGAUA